rnacentral:rRNA from 1 species
GAUGAACGCUGGCGGCGUGCCUAAUACAUGCAAGUCGAGCGAACGGACGAGAAGCUUGCUUCUCUGAUGUUAGCGGCGGACGGGUGAGUAACACGUGGAUAACCUACCUAUAAGACUGGGAUAACUUCGGGAAACCGGAGCUAAUACCGGAUAAUAUUUUGAACCGCAUGGUUCAAAAGUGAAAGACGGUCUUGCUGUCACUUAUAGAUGGAUCCGCGCUGCAUUAGCUAGUUGGUAAGGUAACGGCUUACCAAGGCAACGAUGCAUAGCCGACCUGAGAGGGUGAUCGGCCACACUGGAACUGAGACACGGUCCAGACUCCUACGGGAGGCAGCAGUAGGGAAUCUUCCGCAAUGGGCGAAAGCCUGACGGAGCAACGCCGCGUGAGUGAUGAAGGUCUUCGGAUCGUAAAACUCUGUUAUUAGGGAAGAACAUAUGUGUAAGUAACUGUGCACAUCUUGACGGUACCUAAUCAGAAAGCCACGGCUAACUACGUGCCAGCAGCCGCGGUAAUACGUAGGUGGCAAGCGUUAUCCGGAAUUAUUGGGCGUAAAGCGCGCGUAGGCGGUUUUUUAAGUCUGAUGUGAAAGCCCACGGCUCAACCGUGGAGGGUCAUUGGAAACUGGAAAACUUGAGUGCAGAAGAGGAAAGUGGAAUUCCAUGUGUAGCGGUGAAAUGCGCAGAGAUAUGGAGGAACACCAGUGGCGAAGGCGACUUUCUGGUCUGUAACUGACGCUGAUGUGCGAAAGCGUGGGGAUCGAACAGGAUUAGAUACCCUGGUAGUCCACGCCGUAAACGAUGAGUGCUAAGUGUUAGGGGGUUUCCGCCCCUUAGUGCUGCAGCUAACGCAUUAAGCACUCCGCCUGGGGAGUACGACCGCAAGGUUGAAACUCAAAGGAAUUGACGGGGACCCGCACAAGCGGUGGAGCAUGUGGUUUAAUUCGAAGCAACGCGAAGAACCUUACCAAAUCUUGACAUCCUUUGACAACUCUAGAGAUAGAGCCUUCCCCUUCGGGGGACAAAGUGACAGGUGGUGCAUGGUUGUCGUCAGCUCGUGCCGUGAGAUGUUGGGUUAAGUCCCGCAACGAGCGCAACCCUUAAGCUUAGUUGCCAUCAUUAAGUUGGGCACUCUAAGUUGACUGCCGGUGACAAACCGGAGGAAGGUGGGGAUGACGUCAAAUCAUCAUGCCCCUUAUGAUUUGGGCUACACACGUGCUACAAUGGACAAUACAAAGGGCAGCGAAACCGCGAGGUCAAGCAAAUCCCAUAAAGUUGUUCUCAGUUCGGAUUGUAGUCUGCAACUCGACUACAUGAAGCUGGAAUCGCUAGUAAUCGUAGAUCAGCAUGCUACGGUGAAUACGUUCCCGGGUCU